CAGCCACGAGACCCUGGAGCUGCUUCUUUGGGGAGGCCAUCGAGCUGCUGGAAGGAUCUGGAACACAUGCGUGAGACAGCUGUUUCCUUGGGGAAGGCCAGGUAACGAUGGGGUCACAGACACCCGGGAAGGUCAGGUAAGGACAGAGGUCACAGACACCCGGGGAAGGUCAGGUAAUGAUGGGGUCACAGACACCCGGGGAAGGUCAGGUAACGAUGGGGUCACAGACACCCGGGGAAGGCCAGGUAAGGACAGAGGUCACAGACACCCGGGGAAGGUCAGGUAAGGACAGAGGUCACAGACACCCGGGGAAGGUCAGGUAAGGACAGAGGUCACAGACACCCGGGGAAGGUCAGGUAAGGACAGAGGUCACAGACACCCGGGGAAGGUCAGGUAAGGACAGAGGUCACAGACACCCGGGGAAGGUCAGGUAAGGACAGAGGUCACAGACACCCGGGGAAGGUCAGGUAAGGACAGAGGUCACAGACACCCGGGGAAGGUCAGGUAAUGAUGGGGUCACAGACACCCGGGGAAGGUCAGGUAAUGAUGGGGUCACAGACACCCGGGGAAGGCCAGGUAAUGAUGGGGUCACAGACACCCGGGGAAGGCCAGGUAAGGACAGAGGUCACAGACACCCGGGGAAGGCCAGGUAAUGAUGGGGUCACAGACACCCGGGGAAGGUCAGGUAACGAUGGGGUCACAGACACCCGGGGAAGGUCAGGUAAGGACAGAGGUCACAGACACCCGGGGAAGGUCAGGUAACGAUGGGGUCACAGACACCCGGGGAAGGCCAGGUAAUGAUGGGGUCACAGACACCCGGGGAAGGCCAGGUAAGGACAGAGGUCACAGACACCCGGGGAAGGUCAGGUAAGGACAGAGGUCACAGACACCUGGGGAAGGUCAGGUAAGGACAGAGGUCACAGACACUCGGGGAAGGCCAGGUAAUGAUGGGGUCACAGACACCCGGGGAAGGCUGGGUAAGGACAGAGGUCACAGAUACCCCGGUACCCGGCAGUGAAAGAUUGCACAAUAUUGAAAUAUGCAUUUUCAGUUAGUGAUUUAGGAGGCAGACACACACACACACACACACACACACACAGAUCCUCCAUCCAGUAAUCCACUCCCAAAAUGCCUGCUGGGAACCCAAUCCAGGUCUCCCACAUGGGUGGCAAGGACCCAACCGCCUUGGCUGUCACCUCUCCCCCAGGCUGGCGUGCCCAGGAACCUGUGUCGGCUGCUGGGGCCCAGGCACUCCGGUUUGGAACGAGCGUCCUAACUGUAGGCCAAGCACGUGCCCUGAGUCAGAGUUCGGAGUUCAGUUCAGUGGGGGGGCCUUGAGACAGGGGAGGUGGCCUGGACACACUCCCUCCAGAAGGCCUCCUGCCGCCGCUGCCGCCCUGUCGGGGGUGGAGAAACCAGAGCCCUCAGACAGGCAGCAGCCGACCCCCGGAGCAGGCACUGGGCCCAGGCGGGCAGACAAGAGUCUGUGAAACCCAAGGGCAGCAUGAGAGGGCACAGCCGGGAGGGGGCACAGCAGGACAGGGCACAGCCGGGAGGGGGCACAGCUGGGAGGGGGCACAGCCAGGACAGGGCACAGCUG